UAUUACUUGUAAAACCACGAUGUAGAUAAUAUUGAUUUCCACAACCAAAACUUCAAAAAAAUAUAUUAUAAUAUUGCUUUUUUUUCUGAUGUUUCAUGUUUGUAUGUUCCUCACUUUAUCAAAUUAGCUAGAGAUUAUUUUCUUGAUUAGUAAGUAUUUAUUAUUUUUUAAUUAAUAAAACAACUUCCUAGUUAAGUAUUAUUAGGUAAUAAUCAAUACAGCCACCAACUGAUCAAAUGUAAAAUACACCAGUGUCAACUGACAAUUUAAGGAUAAAAGGCUUAUCAUGGUGGAAGGAGCGUCCAGAAUGAAUGAUCAAUUAGCUGUCCAAGUGUUUCUGUGGAAUAUAAUUACUGUUUGAGGCUUCAGAAAUCAGAAGUAUUCCAACUUUUCGAUGACUGAUUUGACUUGCCGAACAACCAACAACUAUAUGAUAUGAACUCAAAAAGUUAUGGAUUUUAUUUAUUGUCACAAAAUGAGUUAUUGCAUAAAGUGAUUCCAGUGAUGAUGACAUAGACUUUACUAAAAUUGAAAAACAUGCCCAUCUUAUGAGUAGUAAUGUAUCAGCUACUAUCGAAAAUGUUGGUAUGAACAUAUUGAACUUCAUUGAUAAGUAGGACUCGAGGAAAGAAAAAACUUCAUAAUUGAUGUACCUAUAUAAUAGAUCGGUUUGAAACAAUGAUACUGUAUCCAGAUAAGUCAAUAGAGAAUAUGGAGAAGAAUCAUAUUGUUACUGAAAGCCUUUAUUUGCGGCCGUCAAAAGGGUGGAAUUGAUGACUUUUGAUGCAAACCAUUUGAUAUGAAUGACUGAGCAAAGAAGACUAUUCGGCAAGCCUGAGAAGGGGCGCAAACAAAAGAUGUACAGUCCCAUUAUAUUGUUGUCUCUGACCAAUAGCGAUGAAUCCAGUUAACAUUGAUGAUUGAUGAAUAAUAAAAAAACAAUCAACAAACACUUGUCGAUUUAUGAAAAUUGUGUAAAUGUGUAUAAACAUAUUUAUUUUAGAGUGAUGAAAUUUGAGUAAACAAAUGUUUUGGCGUCUACACAUGAAUUUCUACAACGUUGUGCCAACAAAACACUAUAAUGUCCUUGUCUUGGUAAACCUUAUGAUAACACAUCCAUACCUACCCGCUGGUGGAGAAUAAGCGUACACCAUGUAAUCAAAGCAUUGAGGAAACCUUUUUUUGCAUGGACCAAAGUGCAAAUGGUAAGAUUUGGAAAACGUACAAAUAGAAUACCACCAACUAAUUUCCAAUAAAACGGAUUUAUUUGUGUUCAUAUAUAUGUUUGUGACACAUAGUAUAAUUAAUAUAAUACAUCAAUAGUAUGUAAUAUUAUAUAUUAAAAAACAUAAAUAUAAACAUUUCAUUUGCUUUUGUUAA